rnacentral:rRNA from 1 species
AUUGAACGCUGGCGGCAGGCCUAACACAUGCAAGUCGAGCGGAUGAAGGAAGCUUGCUUCCCGAUUCAGCGGCGGACGGGUGAGUAAUGCCUAGGAAUCUGCCUAUUAGUGGGGGAUAACUCGGGGAAACUCGGGCUAAUACCGCAUACGUCCUACGGGAGAAAGUGGGGGAUCUUCGGACCUCACGCUAAUAGAUGAGCCUAGGUCGGAUUAGCUAGUUGGUGAGGUAAUGGCUCACCAAGGCGACGAUCCGUAGCUGGUCUGAGAGGGUGAUCAGCCACACUGGAACUGAGACACGGUCCAGACUCCUACGGGAGGCAGCAGUGGGGAAUAUUGGACAAUGGGCGAAAGCCUGAUCCAGCCAUGCCGCGUGUGUGAAGAAGGUCUUCGGAUUGUAAAGCACUUUAAGUUGGGAGGAAGGGCAGUAAGUUAAUACCUUGCUGUUUUGACGUUACCGACAGAAUAAGCACCGGCUAACUCUGUGCCAGCAGCCGCAGUAA